rnacentral:rRNA from 1 species
GUACGAACGCUGGCGGCGCGCUUAACACAUGCAAGUCGUGCGGUACCGAUGGCAAGUCCUUACAGACGAGCUUUCGGUACAGCGGCGGACGGGUGAGUAACACGUGAGUAGCUGUCCUAAGGAGGGGGAUAACGCCUGGAAACGGGUGCUAAUACCCCAUAUGCCUCGCAAGAGGUGAAAGUGUACUCGUUACAGCCUUAGGGUGCGCUCGCGGCCUAUCAGCUAGUUGGUGAGGUAACGGCUCACCAAGGCUAAGACGGGUAGCCGGCCUGAGAGGGUGUACGGCCACACUGGAAUUGAGAUACGGUCCAGACUCCUACGGGAGGCAGCAGUGGGGAAUCUUGGGCAAUGGGCGAAAGCCUGACCCAGCGACGCCGCGUUGGGGAUGAAGCCCUUCGGGGCGUAAACCCAUGUUGUAGGGGACGAAGAAAGUGACGGUACCCUACGAGAAAGCCCGGCCAACUACGUGCASCAGCCSGGGUAA